rnacentral:rRNA from 1 species
AGUGAACGCUGGCGGUAGGCCUAACACAUGCAAGUCGAACGGCAGCACAGUAAGAGCUUGCUCUUACGGGUGGCGAGUGGCGGACGGGUGAGGAAUACAUCGGAAUCUACUUUUUCGUGGGGGAUAACGUAGGGAAACUUACGCUAAUACCGCAUACGACCUACGGGUGAAAGCAGGGGAUCUUCGGACCUUGCGCGAUUGAAUGAGCCGAUGUCGGAUUAGCUAGUUGGCGGGGUAAAGGCCCACCAAGGCGACGAUCCGUAGCUGGUCUGAGAGGAUGAUUACCCACCCUGGAACUGAGACACGGUCCAGACUCCUAGGGGAGGCAGCAGGGGGGAAAUUUGGACAAGGGGGGAAAGCCUGACCCAGCCAUCCCGGGUGGGCGAAGAAGGCCUUCGGGUUGUAAAGCCCUUUUGUUGGGAAAAAAAAGCAGCAGGUUAACACCCCGCUGUUCUGACGGUACCCAAAGAAUAAGCACCGGCUAACUUCGU